rnacentral:rRNA from 1 species
ACGGCUCAGUAACACGUGGAUAACCUGCCCUUGGGUCCGGCAUAACCCCGGGAAACUGGGGAUAAUACCGGAUAACGCAUAUAUGCUGGAAUUCUUUAUGCGUGAAAUGGAUUCGUCUGCCCAAGGAUGGGUCUGCGGCCUAUCAGGUAGUAGUGGGUGUAAUGUACCUACUAGCCGACGACGGGUACGGGUUGUGAGAGCAAGAGCCCGGAGAUGGAUUCUGAGACAUGAAUCCAGGCCCUACGGGGCGCAGCAGGCGCGAAAACUUUACAAUGCGGGAAACCGUGAUAAGGGGACACCGAGUGCCAGCAUCAUAUGCUGGCUGUCCGGGUGUGUAAAAUACACCUGUUAGCAAGGGCCGGGCAAGACCGGUGCCAGCCGCCGCGGUAACACCGGCGGCCCGAGUGGUGAUCGUGAUUAUUGGGUCUAAAGGGUCCGUAGCCGGUUUGGUCAGUCCUCCGGGAAAUCUGACGGCUUAACCGUUAGGCUUUCGGGGGAUACUGCCAGACUUGGAACCGGGAGAGGUAAGAGGUACUACAGGGGUAGGAGUGAAAUCUUGUAAUCCCUGUGGGACCACCUGUGGCGAAGGCGUCUUACCAGAACGGGUUCGACGGUGAGGGACGAAAGCUGGGGGCACGAACCGGAUUAGAUACCCGGGUAGUCCCAGCCGUAGACGAUGCUCGCUAGGUGUCAGGCAUGGCGCGACCGUGUCUGGUGCCGCAGGGAAGCCGUGAAGCGAGCCACCUGGGAAGUACGGCCGCAAGGCUGAAACUUAAAGGAAUUGGCGGGGGAGCAC